AGAGAGUUAGUCUAAAGCAAGACAGUUGAUUUCGACUCAACAAAUCAUAGCCCAUCCUAUGACUCCCUC
rnacentral:tRNA from 1 species